rnacentral:lncRNA from 1 species
CGCGACUUCUUCCAUGACUCGUUUCCCCACUACGCAGUCGUAGUAGUGAAAGAGUGCCGGCGUGAGAAAGAGGUCCAUUGUCGGAUCGGUCGGACGCGCGCGAGCGAGCGAGCAAGUGAGAGAAAGAAAGGGAACACGAGAGAAGACGGAUGAGAGCGAGAGCGAGUUGCGGAGAAUUGGCGAGAAGAAGACUGCGCCGACAAAGAUGGCUGCGAGCGCGUGAUUCAUCGGACGAAGAUGGCCGCAGGGAUGGUGACGUUGAAGUUGCAUGAGGAGUCGAUAUCAUCUCACGGGAUCAUUUAGCGAGAUUUGAUGAGGAUGCUGGAGGAAAGACGGAGGAGACAUCAACGCACGUACCCCUUCAUCCAUCCGCGCGCGCGUACACAUCGAGCACCAAGGUGGAUCGUACUCUCGGGGAAAAAGCGGAGUAGAUUGUCGCUAGAUUAAAUUGUACGGGUUACGCUCCACGCGGAAAGCAAAGAGAGGAAGACAGAGAGGAAGACAGAGAGAACGACACGGAGACGGGAGAGAGAAGCAGAGGUGAAAAAAGGGAUCAGAGGGCGGACAGUAAAGCGGUCGCAGUUACGGCCGGAAAUUGGCGAAACUUUGCGGAAGGAACGUGCGGGGAAAAUAAGGCGACCGUUUUGUAUGACGGAGCGUUCCUGAAAAUAAUAUUAAAUUGAAAUCCGAAGGAUCGAGAAAUUCUGGAUUCAAAUCAGAGCCAUCUCGAAUACAUUAAUCUUGACGAGCUUGUGAUUUAACGCAGAACGAUACAUCUCUUGUAAGUUGCGAUACACAUUGUCAUUUAGUAUGAAAGAAAAAAUGAUCCGCGCGUAAGCUGAGAAUGCUGACAAUGAGAUGAUGAGACCGAGCGCUGCACCGCUUUGCAAUUUCGUGAGUUUUUCCGCGAAACAUCCUUUUGUCGAUCGACAACGACAGCUUUGGACGGUACCGCCAUAAUAAUAAUAAUUAAUAUCCAAUAUUUCUCUGGAUUUCACGAUCCGAGUUCCGAAUGUCCUCUGCAAUUUAAUACACUCCCUUUAGCAACUUUAUUCUCUGCCUGGUAUAUUCUGCUGGCGAAACUUGUAAUUAACUUAACUGUACUAGCGUCACUCUAAAAAACUGAUCUGAAAACCUCGAGGAAACUGAUUUCAGGGUACACUACGCGCACAAUACGAGAAUUGUCGAAAGAAGUAUCUGAUCUGUCUUGAAGAAGCAAAUCAAACGGAAGAAACUUGAGUCGCUUCGUUUAAAACGCACGAUCUCGAGGUUUGAAUCUGUUUCAUCUCGUCUCUUUUAUCCUGUUAUUUUCGCCUGCCAUCUCGACGAAUCGAUGACGGAUAAGCGAAAUGAAGCGGCCAUUACGCUGCUUGUUCUAAUGAAACUCGCACGGAGGUUUAAUUCAAGGAGCGUACCGACCGUCUAACACUUUUUCCUCGGGUGCUAAUUUAGAAAAAGGGGUGAAAGUAAUGAAGCGUCGCGGGACCAUUUUGCGUUAUUAAUGGCCACUUCGUCACGUCGGUAAUUUUCCCUCCGCCCACAGACACCCUACUUUUUCUCUCGUGACCACUCUACAUAUUGCAAGAGUUUCAUUAAAUCGUGCGACUAACUGCUGCGUGACCGAGUUUUUAAAUUGAUCUCUUCUCUCGCUCGUCUCAGAUUCGCGGACUGUAAUUCACGCGAAAGCUAGUCGAAAAUAAUUGCACCGUUUUCGCUCAUUCAUUUAUUUAUUUAUUCAUUCAUUCAUUCAUUCAUCUUUUGACGCCUUUGACAAUCGGAAACAAGUAGUACGGGUUUACACGCAACAUUUGGUCGACGAAUUUACAAGCCAAGAAAUGCGAAAUGGUACACGCAUGACCGCAUCCGAUUCGUAAGACGAUCUUGAUGUAUACCUAAAUAUUCAUCGGACGAGACAAUUUCUGCAAUUUCCGUGAUACAAAGGAUGCCAGGAAAAGUCAAUGCGUGAAAAGUUUCGCUGGCCAGAUGCGACUCCCGCGGGUUCUCCGCCGUCAGAACUCGACGGCCCUUGUUAUUUGUCGUUAGCGCUUGUUUGUUCGGCGCUCAGCAAACCGUUCGCUGGCUGCUGCAACUGCGCGAUCCCUCGUCGCGAAAAAAAACCGUUGUCACGUCCCAGUUGCAAUUUUCCUCUCCGAGCGCAUUGGCCAGUUACGUGCUGUAGAGCUUACGCGUACGCAAGCUGAUUUCAGCUGUACGACAUGCUCGCUUGUAGCACUAGGCGAGGCACCUAGACGAGGUUUUAUACGCGGGAUGAAUGGCUCUAUCAAUCUAUAUCCGGUUUCGAUAAUGGCGCAACAAAAGCUCUGGAGCUCGUGUUCCGGUUGCUUUUAUUUUUAAUUAAAGUUCCAUUGUUCCAGGAAUGGCUGCACUUACUUACUGUACAAACAACAAAUACAGAAUACAAACACGUUAUUGCGU